rnacentral:lncRNA from 1 species
UAAAAAUAGAACAUAUAAAAGGAUAAAUUCAACCUUAGAUUAAAGUGAUAUCUUCUUAUCAUUUAAAGACUUGAAUUUAUCAAUAAUAAAAUCAGUGAUGAAAUUUCCAACUGUUUCUUUUUCAAUGUUAAGCAUUAUAUUGUUAGUAAGAAAUUCAUUCUUUGUGUUAUUAAGCAAUCUUUUCUUGAUUAUCUUCAUUGAUGAGAUAUUCUCUCUAAAAUAUUGAUCUAAUAUGAUUUGGUCCAAUUUAUGGCGUGCAUGACCUCUGUGCUUUAGAUAAAGUGCAUUACAAUUAAGUGAAUCAAUAUCAUGUUUUCCACUACCCCCUAUUACAUGUUUCAAUAAACCAUUUCAUCCAUCAUUUUCCAACUUAUGAAUUAAUGUGUUUGUUUUGGUGACAAAUAUGUUGAUAUUUCUACGGUAAAGCUUGAGACAGAUGAUCUGUAAAUUCCAUAAACUCCCUCAUCAUGGGUAAAAUUAAUGAGAACUCAAAUAACUUUAUAAACUUAUAUGCAACUGUUGCAGGAAUAAAAUCAUAGGUUAUGUGAAGAAACUACAAAGAAUAACUUCUCCCAUUCUUUUCUAAUAUCUUUAAGAACAACAUAAGUUAGAUUAUGAAAUUCUGUCAUAUUACAAACAAAAUAAAAAUGUGAGCUUCAACAUGUAUAUCUGACUUGUUUCAAAGUGUCAAUCUAAUUUAGUGCUUUACCAAUAACAAGCUUACCAAUAUUUAAUAAAUUUGAAAUACUCUAUAAUAUGGAAAUUUGAAAUUUUGUGAUGCAUCCGAUCAAGAGAAGAAAUAUCUCAAGCCUCAUUAGUCAGAUGUCCAAGUUCUAGCUAAAGUGCUAGUCAAAUGUUGAAUCAAGAAGAAGAAUUUUAAGUUCUAAAAUUAUGAAAGUAAGAAUGUGUGAAAUCUCGUUUUAUCCUACGCUUAGCAUUCUAAUUUGAUCAAUAUAAAUUGUAAAGGGAAAAUGAUUUAGUGUUGUGAUACUAAGGCAAUGCACAUACAUAAAAAAAUACCUUUCAAACCUCUUUUAAUUAUUAAACUUCUCAAAAUCAAUUCAUGCAAGUAUGGAAUUGAUUAAGAAAUGUUUUUAAUCAAUUAGGAAAACAAAAUCAUGGCCUAAUCGAUUAAGACUUUAGCCAAAUUAAUUAAAGGAGAGAGAAAUGUCUUUUAACCCGUUAAAAAGGUCACUAUUCAUAUAAAGUAUGUAUUCAUUUUAGGCUUUUAUUUUUUGGAUUAAGGUUGGCAUUUUUAUGGCAUCUUAAUCGAGCGAGUAAUAUAUGUUUUAAUUGAUUAAAUCCUUAAUUUUGCUCAUUGAUCGUUUACAAAUACUUUUCUAUAGAAAGAAGGUUUUUCUAAUUUCAUUCCACACAAUAUUUUUAAAUAAGAAACCUCUCUACUCUUUUUCUUUCUAAAAUUCCUUUCACUAGUUCAUAGGGUUGAAAGAGCAAAAAAUUCCUUUUUUGUGUUUCUGUUGUAUUGGUGCUAUGCUAAAUUUGUUUUAUUCAAGAGUGUGAUUCUAUUAUGUAGUAUCUUUGUAAAGUAUUUGAAGGUUUCAAGAUAAACCUUAGAGAAAUAUUGGGUGAAGGUCCUUGGGUUGACGGUUCAAGAUAAACCUUAGAGAAAUAUUGUGCAAAAGUUCAAGUUGUAGUUGACGGUUCAUUGGGUUGAUCUUCUAAAAUCUCAAAUAUUUUAGUGGAAAUAUCAAGAAGAAACUCUUAGAGACACGAGUAAGACAAGUAGUUAGGCCAAUUCAGUAUAAAUAUCUAGUGCAAUCUUUUUAACCCUUAUCUCUUUAAUCUAUGUUGUUUACGUUAUUUUUGUUGUGUUUCUCUCAUCUCUCUACUUCUCCGCUACAUUUCUAUAUUUGUUUAACAUAAACAUUUUUUAAAUUAAAGUUUUGAUAAAAAAAUUUGAAUUUCGAAUAUCACAAUUCACCCCAUCCGCUUGUGUUUGGAGUCACCUGGUAAACCCUUUACACAUUAAGAACAAUUCUUAUGUGAAUAGGUUGAUCGAACAAGUCUAAAAAAGUUUUAAAAGCAU